UCGAACGAGAAUAGCUUUGUAGCAAUACCGAGCUGGGGAAAGUGGCGAAAGGGGCAGUAAUACAUGGGUAACCAUCCCCGGGGACCGGGAUAGCCAUUCUAACGAGUGGGUAAUACCGGGCGAUGUGUUCGGGACGCAUGUCCUGGACAUGAGAUGAAUUUCGCCUCGGGACGGGCUCAUGCGGUAUUAGCUUGUUGGCGGGGUAACGGCCCACCAAGGCUUAGAUGCCUAGCUGGUGUGAGAGCACGACCAGCGCCACUGGCACUGAGACACUGGCCAGACACCUACGGGUGGCUGCAGUCGAGGAUUUUCGGCAAUGGGCGCAAGCCUGACCGAGCGACGCCGCGUGCGCGACGAAGGCCUUCGGGUUGUAAAGCGCUGUCGGGGGGGAGAAACGCCGCAAGGCUUGAUCUAUCCCCGGAGGAAGCACGGGCUAAGUUCGUGCCAGCAGCCGCGGUAAGACGAACCGUGCGAACGUUGUUCGGAAUCACUGGGCUUAAAGGGCGCGUAGGCGGUUCAUCAAGUCAGGGGUGAAAUCUUUCGGCUCAACCGGAAAAGUGCCCCUGAUACUGGUGAUCUCGAGGGAGGUAGGGGCCUGUGGAACUCCAGGUGGAGCGGUGAUAUACUCUGAUAUCAGGAAGAUGAACGGUUGC
rnacentral:rRNA from 1 species